CGCCGAGACGCGGCGCGCCGUCCGCGACUCUGUCACCCGGCGACGCCGAAGCGCGCGUCGCGACGCCAGUCCCAGCCAGCGACGCCGCAGCCCGCCCAACCAAUUACGCGCUCCUCCACAGCGUUAGUGGGAAAAUCAGCCGUAGGUGCAAGUGAAUAACUCCACUAAGGCGACCACCCCAGUGAAAGCUACACAGGACUCACAAGGUCGCAGAGUGAACACCUGAUGCCGCUGCUGUGAGCUGUGCGGAACGCGGGUUCACUGUGUGGUUGCAGAAUGUAACUGCGGAGGAGGAUUCCAAUUAACAAGGUA
rnacentral:lncRNA from 1 species